rnacentral:rRNA from 1 species
AUUGAACGCUGGCGGCAGGCCUAACACAUGCAAGUCGAGCGUGAAAGUUCUUCGGAAUGAGUAAAGCGGCGGACGGGUGAGUAACGCGUAGGAAUCUGCACUGAAGUGGGGGAUAACUUGGGGAAACUCAAGCUAAUACCGCAUAGACCUGAGGGUGAAAGAUGGGGGACUUCGGACCUAUCGCUUCAGGAGGAGCCUGCGUCGGAUUAGCUGGUUGGUGGGGUAAAAGCCUACCAAGCCGACGAUCUGUAGCUGGUCUGAGAGGACGACCAGCCACACUGGGACUGAGACACGGCCCAGACUCCUACGGGAGGCAGCAGUGGGGAAUUUCGGACAAUGGGCGCAAGCCUGAUCCAGCCAUGCCGCGUGCGGGAAGAAGGCCUUCGGGUUGUAAACCGCUUUUGUCAGGGAAGAAACGCUCUGGGUUAAUACCCUGGGGUAAUGACGGUACCUGAAGAAUAAGCACCGGCUAACUACGUGCCAGCCGCCGCGGUAACAC